rnacentral:misc_RNA from 1 species
AAGUCGUAACAAGGUAUCCGUAGGUGAACCUGCGGAUGGAUCAUUACCAAUUUUAUAUAUUAGUGUGUAUGCCGCUGUCAAAGGUGGUACUACACUACUACUAUUAUGUAAACGUUGAACUAGAUCAAUUGGUGUGGAUUGCUUGGGAAUGGACGAAGCGACAAGCCUCUUCCGGACAGGCAAACCCCACACUGAUAACCCUUUUCAAUAUAAUUUACUAGUACAUACUACAAACAAACAAAAGCUAUAAUAGGACUUAUAAACAGGCUGAGUGGGUAAAAUCCUCGGCUUAACCAAUAUAACUAUUACAACUUUCAGCAAUGGAUCUCUAGGCUCUC